GGGGCGCUAGCUCAGCUGGUAGAGCACAUCCCUUUUAAGGAUGGUGUCCCGGGUUCGACCCCCGGGCGCCUCA
rnacentral:tRNA from 1 species